rnacentral:rRNA from 1 species
UUCCUACGGGGGGCAGCAGUGGGGAAUAUUGCACAAUGGGCGAAAGCCUGAUGCAGCGACGCCGCGUGAGGGAUGACGGCCUUCGGGUUGUAAACCUCUUUCAGCAGGGACGAAGCGCAGGUGACGGUACCUGCAGAAGAAGCACCGGCCAACUACGUGCCAGCAGCCGCGGUAAUACGUAGGGUGCGAGCGUUGUCCGGAAUUACUGGGCGUAAAGAGCUCGUAGGCGGUUUGUCGCGUCGUCUGUGAAAACCCGCAGCUCAACUGCGGGCUUGCAGGCGAUACGGGCAGACUUGAGUACUGCAGGGGAGACUGGAAUUCCUGGUGUAGCGGUGAAAUGCGCAGAUAUCAGGAGGAACACCGGUGGCGAAGGCGGGUCUCUGGGCAGUAACUGACGCUGAGGAGCGAAAGCGUGGGUAGCGAACAGGAUUAGAUACCCGAGUAGUC